GACGAUGGGAUCAGAAGGCAAAUUCCAUUUGAACGCACAGCAGCCAAAGGGCAUGAAAGAGUCCUUAAGGACGAUCCCCGAAAAAUCAAAGAUUCUAUAAGAAUGGGAGGCCGAACCUGUAAUUCCAGGGGACAUCAGAAGCCAAUGACAGCUGCCAUCCCUCAGGAUGGAGGUCUGCAGGAGAAACCUCAGAAGCAACGUGAAGCAAAGUGACAGCCCGUCGCCAAGACCAUGACAACACGAUGCUGCUUAUGUUUGCUGGCUGUGGCUCCACCCCACACUUCCUCCGGGGACAUGGCUACGGACACACACAAUCUAUUCCGGCAUUGUAGUUUAAUUCUCAACAGAACAUGACACUUUUGAAUUUGCCUACAGAGCUGGGCAGAAAUCAACGAAAUAUUGUGAAGGAAAAAUUCUCAUGAACAUGCCGCCCAAAUCCCUACGCUGAGGCAGGAUGGUAUGACCAAGGUUUAACUUACCUUCACAUGGAAAGACAAUAAAUGGAUUUUGUUUUUUCUUCAA